rnacentral:rRNA from 1 species
CUGCACUCUGGGACAAGCCCUGGAAACGGGGUCUAAUACCGGAUAUGACUGUCCAUCGCAUGGUGGAUGGUGUAAAGCUCCGGCGGUGCAGGAUGAGCCCGCGGCCUAUCAGCUUGUUGGUGAGGUAGUGGCUCACCAAGGCGACGACGGGUAGCCGGCCUGAGAGGGCGACCGGCCACACUGGGACUGAGACACGGCCCAGACUCCUACGGGAGGCAGCAGUGGGGAAUAUUGCACAAUGGGCGAAAGCCUGAUGCAGCGACGCCGCGUGAGGGAUGACGGCCUUCGGGUUGUAAACCUCUUUCAGCAGGGAAGAAGCGAAAGUGACGGUACCUGCAGAAGAAGCGCCGGCUAACUACGUGCCAGCAGCCGCGGUAAUACGUAGGGCGCAAGCGUUGUCCGGAAUUAUUGGGCGUAAAGAGCUCGUAGGCGGCUUGUCACGUCGGUUGUGAAAGCCCGGGGCUUAACCCCGGGUCUGCAGUCGAUACGGGCAGGCUAGAGUUCGGUAGGGGAGAUCGGAAUUCCUGGUGUAGCGGUGAAAUGCGCAGAUAUCAGGAGGAACACCGGUGGCGAAGGCGGAUCUCUGGGCCGAUACUGACGCUGAGGAGCGAAAGCGUGGGGAGCGAACAGGAUUAGAUACCCUGGUAGUCCACGCCGUAAACGGUGGGCACU